rnacentral:rRNA from 1 species
AGCGAACGCUGGCGGCAGGCCUAACACAUGCAAGUCGAACGAACCUUUCGGGGUUAGUGGCGGACGGGUGAGUAACACGUGGGAACGUGCCUUUAGGUUCGGGAUAACUCAGGGAAACUUGUGCUAAUACCGAAUGUGCCCUUCGGGGGAAAGAUUAAUCGCCUUUAGAGCGGCCCGCGUCUGAUUAGCUAGUUGGUUGAGGUAAUGGCUCACCAAGGCGACGAUCAGUAGCUGGUCUGAGAGGAUGAUCAGCCACAUUGGGACUGAGACACGGCCCAAACUCCUACGGGAGGCAGCAGUGGGGAAUCUUGCGCAAUGGGCGAAAGCCUGACGCAGCCAUGCCGCGUGAAUGAUGAAGGUCUUAGGAUUGUAAAAUUCUUUCACCGGGGACGAUAAUGACGGUACCCGGAGAAGAAGCCCCGGCUAACUUCGUG